UUGAAACACUGGUUCUCAUUUGAUCACUGAAGUUAAAAAACGUUGAGCCUAGUCACUACCUAAAUGGGUGACUACUUGGGAAUACCAGCUGCUGUAGG